AUACUUUCCUGGUGUAGGGGAUACCGUGAUCAUGCAGGCGGUUCCCCCAGGGCGAGGCUGCUCCAUUGCACUGUGGAGUGGUUGACUCUUGCGAUUUUUUUUAAAUAUCUUAAUAAAAAAUGUAUACCCGAAUAAUUAUUUUCGUUAAUUUCGUUAUACCUCGAA